GCUCCCGUGGCCUAACGGUAGGGCAGCCGAUUUAUGUUCGGUAUUAGCGCCAGAUUAGCGCGAGAUCUGGGUUCGAAUCCCAGCGGGAGUA
rnacentral:tRNA from 1 species